rnacentral:rRNA from 1 species
UGGGGAAUAUUGCACAAUGGGGGAAACCCUGAUGCAGCGACGCCGCGUGAAGGAAGAAGUAUCUCGGUAUGUAAACUUCUAUCAGCAGGGAAGAAAAUGACGGUACCUGACUAAGAAGCCCCGGCUAACUACGUGCCAGCAGCCGCGGUAAUACGUAGGGGGCAAGCGUUAUCCGGAUUUACUGGGUGUAAAGGGAGCGUAGACGGCAUAACAAGUCUGAUGUGAAAGGCUGGGGCUUAACCCCGGGACUGCAUUGGAAACUGUUAAGCUUGAGUGCCGGAGGGGUAAGCGGAAUUCCUAGUGUAGCGGUGAAAUGCGUAGAUAUUAGGAGGAACACCAGUGGCGAAGGCGGCUUACUGGACGGUAACUGACGUUGAGGCUCGAAAGCGUGGGGAGCAAACAGG